GGUCCGUUGGCCCAAUGGUAAGGCGUCUGACUACGACUUGCAAGCAAAGCGUCAAGUUAAUCAGGAGAUUCUGGGUUCGACCCCCAGGCGGACCU